AUGUGCUGACUCUGAAAUCAUGACACCACAAGCGGAUUAAUCAGAGUGAAACAUACCUUUCAACUUUAUUCAUCUCCUCAAAAACUGGCUGUGUGCUUGGGGAAUUGGGCAAACACUAUCGUUUUCUUUUUGUCAUUUUCAUACUGGUACGUAUACUUAAACCUUUUACAUAAGACCUCUUUUCUGGUGGCGCAAAUCUUGCACUGUGGAAGUUGACAUUGCAUAUCGCAUGUCAAGGUUGGAUUUGGCAAAAUUCUUCGAAUAUCGGACGAGUUCCUGCGCGUAUUUUCUUUGCCAGUCGCUAAACGAAUCUGUUUACAAUAUCUUUGGUUUCCACAAUCCAUAAUUCAUUUUCCCACUUGGAAUAAUUACACUAAAAGUUAUGAAUAUUCUGAAAUAAACGCACUGAAAUGAGUCGAAGCUUUGCCAACUGCUGUGGCCAGAAUUAUCCGAAGAUGAAAACCAUCUUGUCAAGAAAUAUUUCGUCGAAAUAAACUUCAAUACGUGUCAGGUAAAUUUGUGCUGUCACCUUUCAAUGGCACCGUCUUGUAAGAAGAGAAAGUUUUUCGAAGAGGAAAAAAGAUGCCAACGUUACUGUACUCGAUCUUAUGUCAAGCAAUUGCACUUUUCUAUGCCUGUGGAUCAAAUGGGUCCCUUGUUUGGAUCAUUACCAACAGAAAUGCUGACGUAUGUCCUGUCAUAUCUUGAUGCUCCUUCUUUAGCAUGUUUUGGUGCUACUUGUAAAACAUUGUAUGGUUAUUGUGAAGAAAUGUGGAGACCUCUAUGUAAUAGACUCAACCUUGAACAACAACCUACCGUCCUCUGUGUUCAAAAACCUUUGAAAAUUAAUUCUAUAUACAACUAUGAUCGUGCGGUGGAACUUUGCAUCAGUAAAAAGCGUUAUAAAAUAUCCGCUAUCAGAAAUUGGUUGUUCUCAAGGUGGAGAUGUGUUAUAUGUUAUCGUACUGGUUCACAACGUAUUGAUAUCCAUGUUGAUGUAACACUUUGUGAAACGUGUCAUCUGAUCUUUUAUCGUCGUAAAUGUCAUGCCAAGGAACAAUUUAGUUUAACCGAGAAGGAUCUAAGGAUCAUUGACAGCGAAUCAUAUGAAUUCCUUGUUUCUGACCUUAUCACAAUUGCCCGAGCAAAGUAUGGAGGCAGCCACGGUCUUAAGCAAAGACUUGAUAGUCGAAAGCAGCAGAAAGAAGAGCGGGAAUCUGACAAACAGUGCUCCUUGAUUACCAGAGAAAAUCUUGUUGUCUCUGCUCUCUGUCAUCAAGGUAGUUCAUAUGAAGAAAUCUCUGUGGUGGACUUUCGUUGCAUGCCUUUUGUUGGUAGUCCACCAAGCUAUCCAGGUUUGGAACAGCAGGCCGAGGAUGCUGCCAAAUGGUUGAUCUCGUGCAAGAACAGACAGGAAACAAGGUACAAAACCCUUGUGGACGAGAUAAAAGUGAGAUCAGGUCGAUGCAAAGGCUGCCAGGCUAGGGUGGACUUCAGGUUGGCGCCUCACAACGCUGUGUGUUUACACGUGACGUCCACAGAAGGCCAAACUAAAAUGAAAUCGAUUUUGUCAAAGUUUAAGGAAGAUAUUGCACAUUACAGCAAGCAUGGCUUACUACAUUUGGAGUCGGGUCCUUACGAUAUUGAAGAAAAAUCAGCCCUGGAACUUAUGAAUAGACACGAUCGCAUGUGUAAACUUCAAAAAGAGUUAGAUGAAAGAAAGGAUUCUUGGCCAGAUAUACUUAAAGAAGACAAAAACCCCAUGUUCAGCCAGCUUGCCCAGGAUUACAUUUACAAAGGUGUCUCCCAUCUCGAGAACAAAGGUUCGAGAUUUCAGUUGAGAAAAGCCAUGGACGUCGCUCGAGUCAUCAUUACAACAGCUAAUGGAUGGGACGCGAGAAAGAAAGAAAUGGAAAACAGUCUUGCGGAGAAAGGCGUUCCUUCACCAACAAAAAUUCUGAAACUGGAGAGUCAAAUGUUGAUUGACGAUUUCAUCGACAAUUCUGUUGUGGUUCGUGGUGAACAUAUUCUUGCGUGUUCUGCUGCAGAAGUUGCCGAAAAAGUUUCGGUGAUCGAGGGCCACGAGAAGGAACAACCUUCGUCUGUCGCUCGACGAUGUGCGAGAAUUUAUGCUGAAUGUAAUCCAAAACCAGAUUUUAAACAGUUGCAAUUACAAAGAAAAAAGGAUUUGCUGAGGAGUCUAAGCAGUAUAAUGCCUAUCACCUCUUACGAAGAUCUCGAAAACUCUUCCUGUCUUCGCACUGCGAAUGAUUUUAUUAAUUGUGGCACUACGACAUCUUUGUUUGGUUACAAGAUGAACACGCCAAACUCCGUCGCUUCCCUUAUAAAAUUGAAACAAGAGAUUUACAUGAACCAAGGGAAACGAACAAAUGCCGCGGAGACAUAGGAAAAAUCCAGAUAAAGUUCUUCCUUGCAUUUCUAGGAAAGGAGAGAAAGUUCCAAAUGUUUCCCUGACCUUUUUGCGAAAAUAAAUCGAUUCCCUACACGAGUAACAAGAGGCCCAAUCCAUGCGUGCAAGAAAAACUGGCCACUUUGCAUCCAAAGUCGAAGAUUAUGUGACAUAUUUGGUGGUGGAAAAUUUAAAUAUACACCAAUAAAGACAGCACUUCCAACCAAAAAAAUUCUUUUAAAGAUAGCAAAAAAUAUUCAGCAAGAAAGUUCCCGAAAAUCCCAAAUAUAAACACAUUAAACGCAUUGUGGACACAGGUAGGUACUCUCGUACCUAAGAGUUCAAACUUGACUGUUUUUAUUUGAGACCCGAAACUUAUUUUUUCACGUCGACUCAAAGACCUGCAUUAUUGCAUUUCGUAGUGUUGGAUUUUAUUAUCAUUAAAAUUCUCCUUUCAUUUAGCUCAUGAUCGUUAAAUUAUUUUCAUAAUACGAAGGCCUUCAUAAUUGCCGUUUAAUUAUAGAUGUUAAAUCAUAACGCUACUUUUACA